AGCGAACAGAGAAGGAGCUUGCUCCUUCGACGUUAGCGGCGGACGGGUGAGUAACACGUGGGCAACCUACCUUAUAGUUUGGGAUAACUCCGGGAAACCGGGGCUAAUACCGAAUAAUCUGUUUCACCUCAUGGUGAAACAUUGAAAGACGGUUUCGGCUGUCGCUAUAGGAUGGGCCCGCGGCGCAUUAGCUAGUUGGUGAGGUAACGGCUCACCAAGGCGACGAUGCGUAGCCGACCUGAGAGGGUGAUCGGCCACACUGGGACUGAGACACGGCCCAGACUCCUACGGGAGGCAGCAGUAGGGAAUCUUCCACAAUGGGCGAAAGCCUGAUGGAGCAACGCCGCGUGAGUGAAGAAGGAUUUCGGUUCGUAAAACUCUGUUGUAAGGGAAGAACAAGUACAGUAGUAACUGGCUGUACCUUGACGGUACCUUAUUAGAAAGCCACGGCUAACUACGUGCCAGCAGCCGCGGUAAUACGUAGGUGGCAAGCGUUGUCCGGAAUUAUUGGGCGUAAAGCGCGCGCAGGUGGUUUCUU
rnacentral:rRNA from 1 species